GGAAGUAAAAGUCGUAACAAGGUCUCCGUAGGUGAACCUGCGGAGGGAUCAUUACAAGUGACCCCGGUUUACCACCGGGAUGUUCAUAACCCUUUGUUGUCCGACUCUGUUGCCUCCGGGGCGACCCUGCCUUCGGGCGGGGGCUCCGGGUGGACACUUCAAACUCUUGCGUAACUUUGCAGUCUGAGUAAACUUAAUUAAUAAAUUAAAACUUUUAACAACGGAUCUCUUGGUUCUGGCAUCGAUGAAGAACGCAGCGAAAUGCGAUAAGUAAUGUGAAUUGCAGAAUUCAGUGAAUCAUCGAAUCUUUGAACGCACAUUGCGCCCCCUGGUAUUCCGGGGGGCAUGCCUGUUCGAGCGUCAUUUCACCACUCAAGCCUCGCUUGGUAUUGGGCAACGCGGUCCGCCGCGUGCCUCAAAUCGACCGGCUGGGUCUUCUGUCCCCUAAGCGUUGUGGAAACUAUUCGCUAAAGGGUGUUCGGGAGGCUACGCCGUAAAACAACCCCAUUUCUAAGGUUGACCUCGGAUCAGGUAGGGAUACCCGCUGAACUUAAGCAUAUCAAUAAGCGGAGGA
rnacentral:rRNA from 1 species